UCUGUGUACAUUCCUGGAAAGUAGACUGCUAAGCAGCUUCUGAAUUUCCCCAUCAUUUUCAUCAACCAAUCUUGAUGUUCUGGCCCAGGGUGGAAUCUCCUCUUGCUGUGGUAAGCAUGCCAGGAUUGGGUGAAGCCGAC